rnacentral:rRNA from 1 species
UUCCGGUUGAUCCUGCCGGACCCGACUGCUAUCAGAGUGAGAUUAAGCCAUGCGAGUUAACGUAGCAAUACGUGGCGCACGGCUCAGUAACACGUAGUCAACAUGCCCAGAGGACGUGGAUAACCUCGGGAAACUGAGUCUAAACCGCGAUAAGUGAGGAUUUCUGGAAUGGUUCCUGACUAAAAUCUAUAUGGCCUCUGGAUUGGACUGCGGCCGAUCAGGCUGUUGGUGAGGUAAUGGCCCACCAAACCUGUAGCCGGUACGGGCUCUGAGAGGAGGAGCCCGGAGAUGGGCACUGAGACAAGGGCCCAGGCCCUAUGGGGCGCAGCAGGCGCGAAACCUCUGCAAUAGGCGAAAGCCUGACGGGGUUACUCUGAGUGACUUUCGCUAAGAAAGUCUUUUGGCACCUCUAAAAACGGUGCAGAAUAAGGGGUGGGCAAGUCUGGUGUCAGCCGCCGCGGUAAUACCAGCACCCCGAGUGGUCGGGACGAUUAUUGGGCCUAAAGCAUCCGUAGCCGGUUCUGCAAGUCCCCCGUUAAAUCCAGCUGCUCAACAGAUGGGCCGCGGAGGAUACUACAGAGCUAGGAGGCAGGAGAGGCAAGCGGUACUCAGUGGGUAGGGGUAAAAUCCGUUGAUCCAUUGAAGACCACCAGUGGCGAAGGCGGCUUGCCAGAAUGCGCUCGACGGUGAGGGAUGAAAGCUGGGGGAGCAAACCGGAUUAGAUACCCGGGUAGUCCCAG